ACGAAGGUGGCAAGCGUUGUUCGGAUUCACUGGGCGUGCAGGGUGUGUAGGCGGUUUGGUAAGCCUUCUGUUAAGGCUUCGGGCCCAACCCGGAAAGCGCAGAGGGUACUGCCAGGCUAGAGGGCGGGAGAGGAGCGCGGAAUUCCCGGUGUAGCGGUGAAAUGCGUAGAUAUCAGGAGGAACACCUGUGGCGAAAGCGGCGCACUGGACCACAACUGACGCUGAGGCGCGAAAGCUAGGGGAGCAAACAGGA
rnacentral:rRNA from 1 species